GUAGUUGACUCCGUGCUCAGGACACGCUGGCGGCGUGCUUAACACAUGCAAGUCGAGCGAUGAAGCUUCCUUCGGGAAGUGGAUUAGCGGCGGACGGGUGAGUAACACGUGGGUAACCUACCUCAAAGUCGGGGGAUAGCCUACCCGAAAGGGAGAUUAAUACCCCAUAAUAUAAGAAAAUCGCAUGAUUAUCUUAUCAAAGAUUUAUCGCUUUGAGAUGGACCCGCGGCGCAUUAGCUAGUUGGUGGGGUAACGGCCUACCAAGGCAACGAUGCGUAGCCGACCUGAGAGGGUGAUCGGCCACAUUGGAACUGAGACACGGUCCAGACUCCUACGGGAGGCAGCAGUGGGGAAUAUUGCGCAAUGGGGGAAACCCUGACGCAGCAACGCCGCGUGGGUGAUGAAGGUCUUCGGAUUGUAAAGCCCUGUUUUCUGGGACGAUAAUGACGGUACCAGAGGAGGAAGCCACGGCUAACUACGUG
rnacentral:rRNA from 1 species